GAUGAAGAACGUAGCGAAAUGCGAUACGUAAUGUGAAUUGCAGAAUUCAGUGAAUCAUCGAAUCUUUGAACGCAUAUUGCGCUCUUUGGUAUUCCGAAGAGCAUGCUUGUUUGAGUAUCAGUAAACACCUCAAAGCUUUUGGAUUUUUUAAUCGAAAAGCUUUGGACUUGAGCAAUCCCAACACCAAUCUUUUUGAGAUCGGUGGCGGGUUGCUUGAAAUGCAGGUGCAGCUGGACAUUCUCCUGAGCUAAAAGCAUAUUCAUUUAGUCCCGUCAAACGGAUUAUUACUUUUGCUGCAGGUAACAUAAAGGGAGUUUGACCGUAUUGGCUGACUGAUGCAGGAUUUCACAAGGGUCGGCAACGAUUCUUGUUAAACUCGAUCUCAAAUCAAGUAAGACUACCCGCUGAACUUAAGCAUAUCAAUAAGCGGAGGA
rnacentral:misc_RNA from 1 species